rnacentral:rRNA from 5 species
UGGUGAACCAGCGGAGGGAUCAUUG